CUCACAGUAAUCAGCUCUCUUUCAUAUGGGUUCUGCCUUUCACUGAACAUGUGAUUUCCAGUUGAUCAUAGAACAGGCACUGAACAGAAAUAAAAACUGGAGUGUGCAGGAUCAGUGGUUGGCAUCCAGGGGCAGGUUUGAUUCAUUAUCACAGAGACAACCUCAGAGAGACUUUGGCAUUCUGGGUGAAGGAAGAAAGAAGAGAAUAUACAUGGAAAUCCAGGG
rnacentral:lncRNA from 1 species